UGGUUAUUGGUAUCUUUAGGCCAUCCUUUUUAGUCAUGUGCAUUGCGUGUGCCAUCUACCCAGCUCUGCAGAAGUCAACGUACCUCAUGUGCCAGUUCGCCUCACCACCUCGAGCGGGAGGCAUAACCACAAUGUGGUCGUCGCGCACACCUUAACAACACAACCCUUAGGCCCCCGUGCUAGCUGGGCUCUAGAAGUAUCACAAGCUCUCGCGAAUGCAGCAGACUUCGGGGACUUCGGCCCUCGGCCUAGACCUUGGUAGGUCAUUAAGCCACCCUCGUUGAGACAAUGGUCGAUCCUGCGGGCGGUCGGGCGCCUUAACAGCAUCGGCAUCACAAAGGACAUGCCUACCUGGUUG
rnacentral:misc_RNA from 1 species